rfam:Haemonchus contortus, ISE/inbred ISE, WGS project CAVP01000000 data, contig: Hcontortus_18102
GGCACAAAUUUGAAGUGAGGUAGAUAAGUAGCAUCAGCUGGCCCUACUUAUCUACCUCACUUCAAAUUUGUGCCC